rnacentral:rRNA from 1 species
GCCUAAUACAUGCAAGUCGAACGCUUCUUUCCUCCCGAGUGCUUGCACUCAAUUGGAAAGAGGAGUGGCGGACGGGUGAGUAACACGUGGGUAACCUACCCAUCAGAGGGGGAUAACACUUGGAAACAGGUGCUAAUACCGCAUAACAGUUUAUGCCGCAUGGCAUAAGAGUGAAAGGCGCUUUCGGGUGUCGCUGAUGGAUGGACCCGCGGUGCAUUAGCUAGUUGGUGAGGUAACGGCUCACCAGGGCCACGAUGCAUAGCCGACCUGAGAGGGUGAUCGGCCACACUGGGACUGAGACACGGCCCAGACUCCUACGGGAGGCAGCAGUAGGGAAUCUUCGGCAAUGGACGAAAGUCUGACCGAGCAACGCCGCGUGAGUGAAGAAUGGUUUUCGGAUCGUAAAACUCUGUUGUUAGAGAAGAACAAGGACGUUAGUAACUGAACGUCCCCUGACGGUAUCUAACCAGAAAGCCACGGCUAACUACGUGCCAGCAGCCGCGGUAAUACGUAGGUGGCAAGCGUUGUCCGGAUUUAUUGGGCGUAAAGCGAGCGCAGGCGGUUUCUUAAGUCUGAUGUGAAAGCCCCCGGCUCAACCGGGGAGGGUCAUUGGAAAUUGGGAGACUUGAGUGCAGAAGAGGAGAGUGGAAUUCCAUGUGUAGCGGUGAAAUGCGUAGAUAUAGGAAGGAACACCAGUGGCGAAGGCGACCAC